CACGGUAUAGAUAUAAGGGCAAUCAGAACUACACCUCCUGGCAUGUGGGCAUGGGAGGAGGAUUGAAGUGGCGUCGGAGAUGAAAGCAUCACUUCCGGGAUAGCGGUCGCCACUGGAAUGCCAUUAUGGGUAAUGGCCGCGACGGACUAUUGGAGAACGUCAAUUCAAAUGGACCUAUGGGGACAUUGAUGAAGAUACUUAACAUCAGGAGGAAGCAGCUGGUACACUAU